UUUGCCAGAGCAGUUCUGGUUUUGCUCGGGUUUUUGGUUUUGGGAGAUGCUCCAUGUUUUUUUUUUUUUCUGCUCUGGUAGCACUGGUUUGUGACCUGAUGUCGAAUUAUUGAGUGCUAUUCAGAAGUCACGUGAUGCCAUUCUGGUUGCCAUAGAGACCUCAAGUGCAUCAGCUGGGCAGCAUGCAGACAAUGUUGCUGCAACGUUUCUCAGAGGCUGUCAUAGCAACGCUGGGUGAACACGAUCAGACAACGAGAGGAACUCUACUUCAAAUACCUCGAGAAGCUGCUUUCCUCAUCCAAGCGAAAGCCGUCAUCAGCUGCAAAGCUCUGCAGGAGUCGGCUCACCGCGUGGCCCUUGGCCUGGACAGGAAACAGGAUGUGACAUCAGUGGGCAGAAAGCAGGAUAUGGCAUCCCUUCAUUAUAUGUCCAAAUCAAUCAACAGUAAACAGGAUCUGCAGUGCGCUGUUCCGCUGAGGUCUUCUUUGUGGCUUCCUUGCUGGUUCUGCUUCCCUCUGUGAGAGCUCCAUGGCUCCCCCGGCUGUCCCCAAAGCUGCAGCCCACUGAUGAC